GACGAACGCUGGCGGCGUGCUUAACACAUGCAAGUCGAACGGAAAGGCCCGGCUUUUGCUGCUUGCUCGAUUGGCGCACGGGUGAGUAACACGUGUGUAACCUGCCCUUGACUGUCGGAUAACUUCAGGAAACUGGGGCUAUUACCGGAGAUGAUCUCUUGCUGCAUGGUGGGGGUUGGAGAGUGACGGCGGUGGGGGAUAGUCUCGCUGCUUACCCGCUUGUUAGUGAGGUAGUGGCUUACGAAGGCUUCGACGGAUAGCCGGCCUGGGAGGGUGGCCGGCCACCUUGGGACUAAGGUACGGCGCAGAAUCCAAUGGGAGGCAAUAGUGGAGAAUAUUACGGAGUGAGCGGGAGCCUGAUGUGGCAGCGCCGCGUGCGUGAUGCCGUGCUUCGAGUUAUAAACCGAUUUCGAAGGUAACGAAGCGUGAGUGACGGUAAUGGGUAAGGAAGCAACGGCUAACUACGUG
rnacentral:rRNA from 1 species